UAGCAUAAUAAUUUGUUUUUUAAAUGAAAACUAGUAUGAAUGGCCAUCCAUUUUCUAACUGUCUCUCUAUAUUCUCUUUUAAAUUUCUACCCCCGUGAAGAAGCGGGGAUUUCAAAGUAAGACGAAAAGACCCUGUCGAGCUUAAGCUAAUAAAAGAAAUUUAAUUAUAUUAAUUUAUAUUUUAUCUUUUUUAAGCUUUGGUUGGGGCAACCAUGGAGUAAAACUAUCCUCCAGUUAUAAUAAGAUGAAUUUUAUUCUCUUUAUUAAUUUUAAUGAACCAAACUAUUUUGGUAAACAGAAAAAGUUACCGCAGGGAUAACAGCGUAAUCUUCUUUGAGAGCCCAUAUUGACAAGAAGGUUUGCGACCUCGAUGUUGGAUUGGGGCAACCAAAAAGCGCAGCCUCUUUUAAAGGUUG
rnacentral:rRNA from 1 species